UGCGUAGGCGGAUCAAUAAGUCAGUGGUGAAAUCUUUCGGCUCAACCGAGAAACUGCCAUUGAUACUGUUAAUCUUGAGUUCGGUUGAGGUAGGCGGAAUGUGUAAUGUAGCGGUGAAAUGCUUAGAUAUUACACAGAACACCAAUUGCGUAGGCAGCUUACUAGACCGACACUGACGCUGAGGCACGAAAGCGUGGGGAGCGAACAGGAUUAGAUACCCUGGUAGUCC
rnacentral:rRNA from 1 species